GAUGAACGCUGACAGAAUGCUUAACACAUGCAAGUCAACUUGAAUUUGGGUUUUUAACUUAGGUUUGGGUGGCGGACGGGUGAGUAACGCGUAAAGAACUUGCCUCACAGCUAGGGACAACAUUUGGAAACGAAUGCUAAUACCUAAUAUUAUGAUAAUAGGGCAUCCUAUAAUUAUGAAAGCUAUAAGCGCUGUGAGAGGGCUUUGCGUCCCAUUAGCUAGUUGGAGAGGUACCGGCUCACCAAGGCGAUGAUGGGUAGCCGGCCUGAGAGGGUGAUCGGCCACAAGGGGACUGAGACACGGCCCUUACUCCUACGGGAGGCAGCAGUGGGGAAUAUUGGACAAUGGACCGAGAGUCUGAUCCAGCAAUUCUGUGUGCACGAUGAAGUUUUUCGGAAUGUAAAGUGCUUUCAGUUGGGAAGAAACAAAUGACGGUACCAACAGAAGAAGUGACGGCUAAAUACGUG
rnacentral:rRNA from 1 species